GGAAAGAAUGGAUUUUUCUCCUUGAGAUCCUGUGAUAUGAAUAUUACACUCGUAAGGCAUAUCAACAGAUGACUUAAGGGGGGAAAAGCGAUCCUGAAAGAUACUUGAAAUCAACAGGAAAGAGAGGUUCUUGAUCGCUGCAGCAAAUGGCAACUUGUGCAGUUACAAAUUAUAAUACUGUGGUAGAAACAAAUUCAGAUUCAGAUGAUGAAGACAAACUGCAUAUUGUGGAAGAAGAAAGUGUUACAGAUGCAGCUGACUGUGAAGGUGUACCAGAGGAUGACCUGCCAACAGACCAGACAGUGUUACCAGGGAGGAGCAGUGAAAGAGAAGGGAAUGCUAAGAACUGCUGGGAGGAUGACAGAAAGGAAGGGCAAGAAAUCCUGGGGCCUGAAGCUCAGGCAGAUGAAGCAGGAUGUACAGUAAAAGAUGAUGAAUGCGAGUCAGAUGCAGAAAAUGAGCAAAACCAUGAUCCUAAUGUU
rnacentral:sRNA from 1 species